AUGGCAUCUCAGGAAGAGGGGGGCGGAUCACGCCCUAGGAAGGAACCAAUCGAGGAUCUUCUGAAACGUCUGGAUCUGCAGGAAGAUGAAGAGGAUCACUUCGUGUGGGAGGAGGAGUUUCAGGAGGAACAGGUGGUGGUGAAGUGGCUAGCCAUUGCGAAGGUCCACAUAGAUAAGGGGUUUAGUCCCUCUGCUCUCUAUGCCGAUAUGAGAUCCGCAUGGAAUCCAGCAAAGGAACCACGAUGGCACAGGAUUGAAGACAAUCUGUUCACGGUGCAAUUUGGCUGUUUGGGUGAUUGGAAUACGGCAAUGAACAUGGGGCCAUGGCUCUUUCGUGAUCACGGCCUCCUGAUUGCAGAAUACGAUGGGUUUACGAAACCAACAUCCAUUGUUCUUGAUAAGAUAACGGUUUGGGCAAGAAUCAUGAAGCUACCGGAUAAUUAUCUCAUACCGGCUGCAAUAAGAGGGAUGUGCAGGAAGAUGGGGAAAAACCUGGAUAUCCAGACUACCCUACCAGCAGGUUUUGCAGGCGAAUUUGUCCGAGUCAGAGUGGAGCUUGAUGUUACAAAGAAACUGAUCCGGUUUGUAGGGAUCACAAAGAAGGAGGUUACAGACUAUUACCAGGUCCAGUAUGAAAAACUACCCAUCUUCUGUGGGCAUUGCGGUAUGAUGGGCCAUUGGUACCAAGAGUGUGGAACUGGGGAACACGACGUGACCAAGCUUGAAUGGGGAGAUUUCUUAUUGGCUGAUGGUGGUAGAGGCCGUGGAAGAGGAUGUGGUUCUGGCCUACCUCUACCCCUGGUGACAAUACUAAUAUUAAUAUGA
rnacentral:rRNA from 1 species